rnacentral:rRNA from 1 species
UCUUCGGAGAGUUUGAUCCUGGCUCAGGACGAACGCUGGCGGCGUGCCUAAUACAUGCAAGUCGAGCGAAUCGAUGGGAGCUUGCUCCCUGAGAUUAGCGGCGGACGGGUGAGUAACACGUGGGCAACCUGCCUAUAAGACUGGGAUAACUUCGGGAAACCGGAGCUAAUACCGGAU